CAUGGAGGGUGAGAAUCCCGUACGGCCAUCAUUGCUCGUGUACGAUACGCUUUCAAAGAGUCAAGUUGUUUGGGAUUGCAGCUUAAAAUGGGAGGUAAAUUUCUCCUAAGGCUAAAUAUUGGCGAGAGACCGAUAGCGAACAAGUACCGUGAGGGAAAGAUGAAAAGCACUUUGAAAAGAGAGUUAAAUAGUACGUGAAAUUGUUGAAAGGGAAACGAUUGAAGCCAGUCGUACCGACGGAGAAUCAACCUUUGGAAUGCGAAUCGAGGUAUUCGAAGAGUUUAAAAGCCUUAGUGUGCUUUCGCAUUCGUGCUUCAUGGGUGCACUUCUUCGUAUGGUAGGUUAACAUCAAUUUUGGACGUUACAAAAUGAUCGGGGGAAUGUAGCUUCGAUUUUUCGAAGUGUUAUAGCCCUUGGUAGAUGUGACGACCGGGAUUGAGGAUUGCAACGAAUGCUUUCGGGCUAUCCGUCUGACCUCUGGUGGUCGCUCUGGGGUCGAAAGCGUGCUUACGACUUCAGAGUUUGGCUAUCAAAAGGCUAGAACGUGAUUAAAAUUCGUUAAGGAUGUUGACGUAAUGG
rnacentral:rRNA from 1 species